rnacentral:rRNA from 1 species
GCGGAACACGUGUGCAACCUGCCUUUAUCUGAGGGAUAGCCUUUCGAAAGGAAGAUUAAUACCUCAUAAUAUACUGAUUGGCAUCAAUUGGUAUUGAAAGCUCCGGCGGAUAGAGAUGGGCACGCGCAAGAUUAGAUAGUUGGUGAGGUAACGGCUCACCAAGUCAAUGAUCUUUAGGGGGCCUGAGAGGGUGAUCCCCCACACUGGUACUGAGACACGGACCAGACUCCUACGGGAGGCAGCAGUGAGGAAUAUUGGACAAUGGGUGCAAGCCUGAUCCAGCCAUCCUGCGUGAAGGACGACGGCCCUAUGGGUUGUAAACUUCUUUUGUACAGGGAUAAACCUACCCUCGUGAGGGUAGCUGAAGGUACUGUACGAAUAAGCACCGGCUAACUCCGUGCCAGCAGCCGCGGUAAUACGGAGGGUGCAAGCGUUAUCCGGAUUUAUUGGGUUUAAAGGGUCCGCAGGCGGGCUAGUAAGUCAGUGGUGAAAGCCUACAGCUUAACUGUAGAACUGCCGUUGAUACUGCUAGUCUUGAGUAUAGUUGAGGUAGCUGGAAUGAGUAGUGUAGCGGUGAAAUGCAUAGAUAUUACUCAGAACACCGAUUGCGAAGGCAGGUUACCAAGUUAUAACUGACGCUGAGGGACGAAAGCGUGGGGAGCGAACAGGAUUAGAUACCCUGGUAGUCCACGCCGUAAACGAUGCUAACUCGUUUUUGGGCUUUAGGGUUCAGAGACUAAGCGAAAGUGAUAAGUUAGCCACCUGGGGAGUACGACCGCAAGGUUGAAACUCAAAGGAAUUGACGGGGGCCCGCACAAGCGGUGGAUCAUGUGGUUUAAUUCGAUGAUACGCGAGGAACCUUACCAAGGCUUAAAUGGGAAUUGACAGCUGUAGAAAUACGGUUUUCUUCGGACAAUUUUCAAGGUGCUGCAUGGUUGUCGUCAGCUCGUGCCGUGAGGUGUUAGGUUAAGUCCUGCAACGAGCGCAACCCCUGUCACUAGUUGCCAUCAUUAAGUUGGGGACUCUAGUGAGACUGCCUACGCAAGUAGAGAGGAAGGUGGGGAUGACGUCAAAUCAUCACGGCCCUUACGCCUUGGGCCACACACGUGAUACAAUGGCCGGUACAGAGGGCAGCUACACUGCGAAGUGAUGCCAAUCUCGAAAGCCGGUCUCAGUUCGGAUUGGAGUCUGCAACUCGACUCUAUGAAGCUGGAAUCGCUAGUAAUCGCGCAUCAGCCAUGGCGCGGUGAAUAC